rnacentral:rRNA from 1 species
AGUGAACGCUGGCGGUAGGCCUAACACAUGCAAGUCGAACGGCAGCACAGUAAGAGCUUGCUCUUACGGGUGGCGAGUGGCGGACGGGUGAGGAAUACAUCGGAAUCUACUUUUUCGUGGGGGAUAACGUAGGGAAACUUACGCUAAUACCGCAUACGACCUACGGGUGAAAGCAGGGGAUCUUCGGACCUUGCGCGAUUGAAUGAGCCGAUGUCGGAUUAGCUAGUUGGCGGGGUAAAGGCCCACCAAGGCGACGAUCCGUAGCUGGUCUGAGAGGAUGAUCAGCCACACUGGAACUGAGACACGGCCCAGACUCCUACGGGAGGCAGAAGUGGGGAAUAUUGGACAAUGGGCGCAAGCCUGAUGCAGCAAGACCGCGUGGGUGAAGAAGGCCUUCGGGUUGUAAAGCCCUUUUGUUGGGAAAGAAAAGCAGCAGGUUAAUACCCCGCUGUUCUGACGGUACCCAAAGAAUAAGCACCGGCUAACUUCGUG